UUUAUUUGAUCCUUGUGAAGAGAUGGCAUCAGCUUAUGGGACACCAGGACUUGGUUGUGUGUUGAGUAAGAGUGGCCACAUUACUGCAACCAAAUUAUGCAACACUAGUUUCUUCCCUGGAUUUCAAGCAACAAGGCAAGCCUCAAAAUUCUUGGAGAAGGAAACAUGCCACACUUUUAUGAGCUGCAGUGCGAGAGCUACUCUGACCUUUGACCCUUCAACUGAACCCUCAAAGCUAAAAGAGAGGAGACACACCCUUGAUCCAGCUGCUCCAGAUUUCCUUCCACUUCCAUCCUUUGAAGAAUGCUUUCCAAAGAGCACGAAGGAGUACAGGGAAGUUGUUCAUGAGAAAACUGGCCAUGCCUUCAAGGUGCCAUUUCGACGUGUCCAUCUCUCAGGGAUGGAAAAAUACUUUGAUACAUAUGAUACUAGUGGUCCGCAAAAUAUGAACCCUCGUGUAGGUCUUCCCAAGAUCCGGAAAGAUUGGAUUGACCAAAGAGAGAAGCUAGAUGAACCCAGAUGCACACAGAUGUAUUAUGCUAAGAAGGGAAUCAUUACAGAAGAAAUGCUGUUCUGUGCCACUCGUGAGAAUCUUGAUCCUGAAUUUGUGAGGUCUGAGGUUGCUCGUGGAAGAGCUAUCAUCCCCUCCAACAAGAAACACCUGGAAUUAGAACCAAUGAUUGUCGGUAGGAACUUCUUAGUCAAGGUGAAUGCUAAUAUUGGUAACUCUGCUGUUGUGAGUUCUAUUGAGGAAGAGGUACAUAAGCUUCAAUGGGCCACUAUGUGGGGUGCUGACACGGCCAUGGAUCUGUCAACUGGUCGCUACAUCCAUGAGACUCGUGAAUGGAUUCUUCGGAAUUCUGCUGUGCCGGUUGGAACUGUUCCAAUUUAUCAAGCAUUAGAAAAAGUGAAUGGCAUUGCAGAAAAACUUACAUGGGAAAUUUUUAGAGAUACUCUUAUUGAACAGGCAGAGCAGGGCGUUGAUUAUUUCACCAUCCAUGCUGGUGUGCUGCUUCGCUACAUUCCUCUUACAGCAAAACGAAUGACUGGCAUUGUUUCACGAGGAGGAUCUAUUCAUGCAAAAUGGUGUCUAGCUUAUCACAAAGAGAACUUUGCAUAUGAGCAUUGGGAUGAUAUCCUUGACAUUUGCAAUCAGUAUGAUGUGGCACUGUCUAUUGGUGAUGGACUUAGGCCUGGUUCUAUAUAUGAUGCUAAUGACAGUGCACAGUUCGCAGAGCUUUUAACACAGGGUGAGCUCACACGCAGGGCUUGGGAAAAGGAUGUGCAGGUGAUGAAUGAAGGUCCAGGACAUAUCCCUAUGCACAAAAUUCCCGAAAAUAUGGUUAAACAGUUGGAUUGGUGUAACGAGGCUCCAUUCUAUACACUAGGUCCCUUGACAACUGAUAUUGCUCCUGGAUAUGAUCAUAUUACCUCAGCCAUUGGAGCAGCCAACAUUGGUGCCCUUGGAACUGCACUUCUUUGUUAUGUCACACCUAAAGAACACCUAGGGCUGCCAAAUCGUGAUGAUGUGAAAGCAGGUGUUAUAUCAUACAAGAUAGCUGCCCAUGCUGCUGACUUGGCGAAAUGCCAUCCCCAUGCACAAGCAUGGGAUGAUGCACUAAGCAAAGCGAGGUUUGAGUUUAGAUGGUUGGAUCAGUUUGCUUUAUCAUUGGAUCCUAUGACUGCCAUGGCCUUCCAUGAUGAGACACUUCCGUCCGAGGGUGCCAAGGUUGCACAUUUCUGUUCAAUGUGUGGACCUAAGUUCUGCUCUAUGAAGAUAACAGAAGAUGUUCGCAAGUAUGCUGAUGAGCAUGGAUAUGGAACACCCGAGGAAGCUUUGAAGCAGGGCAUGGAAUCUAUGAGUGCUGAAUUUCUUGCUGCCAGCAAAACUAUCAGUGGAGAGCAGCAUGGUGAAGUUGGUGGGGAGAUCUAUGUGCCUGAAGGCUAUGCCACACGCCAGUAAAAGGAGCUUGUUUACAUCUUGGUAUUUGCCGAAGCUUGAAAAUGACUCCAUGUUACUACAGCAGUUGACAUUUCCUGUGGGGUAUAUGCCAUUUGGCCACUAUGGAGGCAUACUGGCUGAGAAAGACCCUUUGAACCUGAACAGGUUAAUACCUGCGUAGGGAGUGUGCAAGUAUUUCUUUUCUUUUCUUGCAUGUUCAGGGUACUCUACCAACCUUUCCAGACAGCUGACUCCAAGCCGCUAAGCAAUUUUGUUGCAGUUGGCCAGGCUUAUUCAUGGAUGGGAAGUAACUUUAUUUCCUUUAUUUCAUUAUUAGUCUUUAUUUUUCAAUUAUGAUAGAUGCAAUAAAUGUCUACAGAGCGGCACCACUAAUUUUCUAUGUCUACAUCGUAUGCUAUUCUAUUGGCAAAUGCCCAGUAAGAAGUAUAUUUAAGAUC